rnacentral:lncRNA from 1 species
UGCUGUUGACAGAAAAUCCAACUCAGACUGGCUUGACAACAACAAAAAGACAGAGAAAUGUUCAGAAGAGCUGUUAGGAAGGUUAAGUUGGGAGGGGAGGGAAUAGAUGCUAGAAAGCAUGAACACGUGAUGGAUGCCCCCUCCAUCCAUGAAUGACAGCUGACAUUGAUAGAGCCCAUGCUGGUUCAUGAACCAUUUGUUAUUUUCCAGGAUGAGAUGAAAAGAGUAAUUGAGAUAUUAUGAGCAUCCUGAUUUAUCUGGAGAUGCUUCCAAACACUAACAGCAGGAGAAUGGAGAGUCCAGGAAAAGAGAAGGAGAGCAAGAGGAACAAGGGACACUGAGGAGAAGGAGGAAGAGGAGGAGAAAGGAAAAAAGAAAAGGAAAGAAGAAGAAUGAGGAAAGAAAGACAAA